AAGUGCUGGGAUUACAGACUUGAGCCACCGCACCUGGCUGAGAGUUCUAUCUUAAAUAUUCCUCAGUAUAGCAAGGAUACUCAUAUUUAUGAUGCAAGGCGAUUGAAUUCCAGGAGAAGUCAGCCUUUGAUUUCUUUGACUGAACAUACAAAGAGCAUUGCUUCUGCCUAUUUUUCACCUCUUACUGGUAACAGAGUGGUGACUACAUGUGCCGAUUGUAAUCUGAGAAUUUUUGACAGCAGCUGUAUAUCUUCUAAGAUUCCGCUCCUCACCACCAUCAGGCACAACACUUUCACUGGGCGAUGGCUGACCAGGUUCCAAGCCAUGUGGGAUCCUAAACAAGAAGACUGUGUCGUAGUUGGCAGCAUGGCCCAUCCACGACGGGUAGAAAUCUUCCAUGAGACAGGAAAGAGGGUGCAUUCGUUUGGUGGAGAAUGCCUUGUCUCUGUGUGUUCCAUCAAUGCCAUGCACCCAACUCGGUAUAUUUUGGCUGGAGGUAAUUCCAGCGGGAAGAUACAUGUUUUUAUGAAUGAAAAAAGCUGCUGAGUUUUUGGUUUAGGAACAUCAAUUUGUUCAAAUUGACCAUUGUCUAAGGAGCCUAGUAAUUGGCGUGCCUUAGUGUGUUUAUUUGGUAAUGUGUUACCUUUAGCAAAUAUAACAUUGUUUUAUUAAUAAGACUAUAAGAAGAGUGUACUUUUAGUAAGGGAGAAGUCUUGGAGGGUUGCUUCUGCAGGACGGGGAGGGAAUUUGAGGGGGAGGCUGAGGUGCCUUCAGGACUUUUUUUUUUGAGAUGGAGUUUUGCUCUUGUUGCCCAGGCUGGAGUGCAAUAGCGCGAUCUUGGCUCGCCGCAACCUCCGCCUCCCAGGUUCAAGCGAUUCUCCUGCCUCAGACUCCUAAGUAGCUGGGAUUACAGGCACCUGCCACCACGCAUGGCUAUUUUUUGUAUUUUUAGUAGAGAUGGAGUUUCACCAUGUUGGCCAGGCUGGUCUCGAACUCCUGACCUCAGGUGAUCUGCCCGCCUCAGCCUCCAAAAGUGCUGGAAUUACAGGCGUGAGCCACCGUGCCUGGCCAUCAGAACUUGUAAUCAAGACAGUAUGUUGAGAAAUUCUAACAUUAUAAAUUACAAAGCUUUGACUAUUAAAGUUUUUGUGAUCUAAUGAU
rnacentral:sRNA from 1 species